GAUCCUGGCUCAGGAUGAACGCUAGCUACAGGCUUAACACAUGCAAGUCGAGGGGUAUCGGGAAGAAAGCUUGCUUUCUUUGCCGGCGACCGGCGCACGGGUGAGUAACACGUAUCCAACCUGCCCUUUACUCGGGGAUAGCCUUUCGAAAGAAAGAUUAAUACCCGAUGGCAUAAUGAUUCCGCAUGGUUUCAUUAUUAAAGGAUUCCGGUAAAGGAUGGGGAUGCGUUCCAUUAGGUUGUUGGUGAGGUAACGGCU
rnacentral:rRNA from 1 species